rnacentral:misc_RNA from 1 species
AUGUAGCCUGGCGCCUUUGCUC